GGACCCGCACAAGCGGUGGAGCAUGUGGUUUAAUUCGAUGCAACGCGAAAAACCUUACCUACUCUUGACAUACUUGGAAGCUCUUGUAAUGAGAGUGUGCCUUUUGGAACCAAGAUACAGGUGCUGCAUGGCUGUCGUCAGCUCGUGUCGUGAGAUGUUCCGUUAAGUCGGAUAACGAGCGCAACCCUUACCCUUAUUUGCCAGCGAUUCGGUCGGGAACUAUAAGGGGACUGCCGGUGAUAAACCGGAGGAAGGUGAGGACGACGUCAAGUCAUCAUGGCCCUUACGAGUAGGGCUACACACGUGCUACAAUGGGGAAUACAGACGGACGCUAAGCCGCGAGGUGGUGCGGAUCUAUAAAACCGAUCUCAGUUCGGAUCGGGGUCUGCAACUCGACCCCGUGAAGCUGGAAUC
rnacentral:rRNA from 1 species